rnacentral:rRNA from 1 species
GGAACGAACGCUGGCGGCAUGCCUAACACAUGCAAGUCGAACGAGACCUUCGGGUCUAGUGGCGCACGGGUGCGUAACGCGUGGGAAUCUGCCCUUGGGUUCGGAAUAACAGCGAGAAAUUGCUGCUAAUACCGGAUGAUGACGUAAGUCCAAAGAUUUAUCGCCCAAGGGAUGAGCCCGCGUAGGAUUAGCUUAGUUGGUGAGGU